rnacentral:lncRNA from 1 species
AUGAGCCUGUUUUGUCUACCUGCUGAAAAUGUAAUUUAUAUAUAAGUAAUUUUAGUUUAGAGAAUUGAUUUUAGUGAGAAGCUGUAGCGCAUGCGUUUCGCUGAAUUUAGAUAAAAAUAUUUUUUUUAAAAAUAUUUUCUAAAAUUAUUUGGCAAAAAAUUUUUGAUACUUACAUAUAUUAAUAUUUUUACUAAAUUAUAUUUUAAAAUAAUUUAAAAUUUGAAUUAAAAGUAUAAUUUUUAAAUUUUAAUUUUAUAAUUUUGAAUUUUUAAAUUUAAAAUUCAAAAUUCAAAAUUUAAAAUUAUGAAUUUUGAAAAUUAAAAUUAAAAUUAAAAUUUAGAAUUUUGUAAUUUGAAAAUUAAAACUUGUAAUUUUAAAUUUUAAAUUUUAAAAUUUUAAAAUUUAAAGUUUUAAAAUCUGAAAUGUCAAACUCUUAAAUUUAAAAUUUAAAGUUUUUAAUUUUAAAAUUUGAGAUUUGAAACUUAAAUUUAAAAUUUAAUAUCUAAAUUUUAAAUUUUAAAUUUGAAAAGUUGAGAUUUAAAAAUUCAAAUAUGAAUUUAAAAUUUCAAAUUUUAAAUUUGUUGUUAAAUUUAUUUUUGAAUCUAAAAUAAAAAUAAAAAUUUGAAGUUUGAGUUUAAAAUU